ACUGUAGGCGCUUCAACUAAUAGUGUGUGGGAGGAAUGUACAAGUAAACUUUUCUAGAUUUGUGCCUACUCCUUAGCUCAGUCACAUCUGUAUCUUCACUGAGCUUUCCCAGGAUAGUCUUCUGCAAAUGGGCCUUUUAACGAACAGCAUCGGGAAACCCUUCAACCUGCCUUUGAGAACUAUCCAGUGCUUAAGUUAACUUUACAAGCUAGGCAAACGUUUGCCUUUU